ensembl:lncRNA
CGGCAGAUAGCCUAGUGGUUAGAGUGUAGAGGCGGCAGGUAGCCUAGUGGUUAGAGUGUAGAGGCGGCAGGUAGCCUAGUGGUUAGAGUGUGGAGGCGGCAGGUAGCCUAGUGGUUAGAGUGUAGAGGCGGCAGGUAGCCUAGUGGUUAGAGUGUAGAGGCGGCAGGUAGCCUAGUGGUUAGAGUGUAGAGGCGGCAGGUAGCCUAGUGGUUAGAGUGUAGAGGCGGCAGGUAGCCUAGUGGUUAGAGUGUAGAGGCGGCAGGUAGCCUAGUGGUUAGAGUGUGGAGGCGGCAGGUAGCCUAGUGGUUAGAGUGUGGAGGCGGCAGGUAGCCUAGUGGUUAGAGUGUAGAGGCGGCAGGUAGCCUAGUGGUUAGAGUGUAGAGGUGGCAGGUAGCCUAGUGGUUAGAGUGUAGAGGGGGCAGGUAGCCUAGUGGUUAGAGUGUAGAGGGGGCAGGUAGCCUAGUGGUUAGAGUGUAGAGGCGGCAGGUAGCCUAGUGGUUAGAGUGUAGAGGGGGCAGGUAGCCUAGUGGUUAGAGUGUAGAGGCGGCAGGUAGCCUAGUGGUUAGAGUGUAGAGGCAGCAGGUAGCCUAGUGGUUA